rnacentral:rRNA from 1 species
AGGACGAACGCUGGCGGCGUGCUUAACACAUGCAAGUCGAGCGGAAAGGCCCUUCGGGGUACUCGAGCGGCGAACGGGUGAGUAACACGUGAGCAACCUGCCCUUAGCUCCGGGAUAGCUCCGGGAAACCGGAAUUAAUACCGGAUACAACACCGGCCGACAUCGGCCGGUGUGGAAAGAAUUUCGGCUAGGGAUGGACUCGCGGCCUAUCAGCUAGUUGGUGGGGUAAAGGCCUACCAAGGCGACGACGGGUAGCCGGCCUGAGAGGGCGACCGGGCCACGACUGGGACUGAGACACGGCCCAGACUCCUACGGGAGGCAGCAGUGGGGAAUCUUGCGCAAUGGGCGAAAGCCUGACGCGGCGACGCCGCGUGGGGGAUGAAGGCCUUCGGGUUGUAAACCCUUUCAGCAGGACGAAGCGAAAGUGACGGUACCUGCAGAAGAAGCGCCGGCUAACUACGUGCCAGCAGCCGC